GAGGGAUUUCUUGCAGAGACAAUGCUUGAUUUUUGUUUAAAUGAGGGAUUUUGGCAGAGAACAUGCGUGAUUUUGGGGUUAAACAGGGGAUUUCUGCAAAGAAAAAAAAUCAUGAUUCUCAGGUAAAAUUCGGUGUAGUUGAAGGGAAAAUGCAUGAUUUUCGGGUUAAAUGGGGGAUUUCGGAAGAGAAAAUGCGUGUUGUUUGAGAUAAACGGGGGAUUUUUGUAGAGCGAAUGCAUGAUUUUCACGUUAAAUGGGGGAUUUUCCAAGAGAAAAUGCAUGAUUUUCACGUUAAAUGGGGGAUUUUCCAAGAGAAAAUGUGUAAUUUCCAGGUUAAAUGGGGGGUUUUGGAAGAGAAAAUGUGUGACUUUUGGUUAAAUGGGGGGUUUCCAGAGAAAA
ensembl:lncRNA